UGCCUAAGACAUGCAAGUCGUACGAGGCGGCCCACUGAUUCAGAUUGAGAUCUGGAGUGCUUGCACAAAGGAAGGAUUCUGAUGACGUGGAUCCUCCGCCUAGUGGCAAACGGGUGAGUAACACGUGGGUUACCUGCCUCAUAGACCGGGAUACCGUUUGGAAACGAACGUUAAUACCGGAUGUUGUCUACGGACUAAAGGGAGCCUUUAAAGCUCCGCUAUGAGAUGGGCCUGCGGUGCAUUAGAUAGUUGGUGAGGUAACGGCCCACCAAGUCGACGAUGCAUAGCUGAACUGAGAGGUUGAUCGGCCACACUGGGACUGAUACACGGCCCAGACUCCUACGGGAGACAGCAGUUAGGAAUAUUCGUCAAUGGGGGAAACCCUGAACGAGCAAUGCCGCGUGAAAUGAUGAAGGCCCUAUGGGUUGUAAAAUUCUGUUGUUUGGGAAGAACUACAGAAAUAGGAAAUGAUUUCUGUUUGACGGUACCAUUCAAGAAAGCUCCGGCUAACUACGUGCCAGCCGCCGC
rnacentral:rRNA from 1 species